rnacentral:rRNA from 1 species
AGUUCAGAUUGCAGGCUGCAACUCGCCUGCAUGAAGUCGGAAUUGCUAGUAAUCGUAGGUCAGCAUACUACGGUGAAUACGUUCCCGGGCCUUGUACACACCGCCCGUCAAACCAUGAGAGUUGGCAACACCCGAAGUCGGUAGUCUAACCGCAAGGAGGACGCGGCCGAAGGUGGGUCCGGUAAUUGGGGUGAAGUCGUAACAAGGUAAC